ACGCUGGCGGCGUGCCUAAUACAUGCAAGUAGAACGCUGAAGGAGGAGCUUGCUUCUCUGGAUGAGUUGCGAACGGGUGAGUAACGCGUAGGUAACCUGCCUGGUAGCGGGGGAUAACUAUUGGAAACGAUAGCUAAUACCGCAUAAUAGUAGAUGUUGCAUGACAUUUACUUAAAAGGUGCAAUUGCAUCACUACCAGAUGGACCUGCGUUGUAUUAGCUAGUUGGUGGGGUAACGGCUCACCAAGGCGACGAUACAUAGCCGACCUGAGAGGGUGAUCGGCCACACUGGGACUGAGACACAGCCCAGACUCCUACGGGAGGCAGCAGUAGGGAAUCUUCGGCAAUGGACGGAAGUCUGACCGAGCAACGCCGCGUGAGUGAAGAAGGUUUUCGGAUCGUAAAGCUCUGUUGUAAGAGAAGAACGAGUGUGAGAGUGGAAAGUUCACACUGUGACGGUAUCUUACCAGAAAGGGACGGCUAACUACGUGCCAGCAGCCGCGGUAAUACGUAGGUCCCGAGCGUUGUCCGGAUUUAUUGGGCGUAAAGCGAGCGCAGGCGGUUAGAUAAGUCUGAAGUUAAAGGCUGUGGCUUAACCAUAGUACGCUUUGGAAACUGUUUAACUUGAGUGCAAGAGGGGAGAGUGGAAUUCCAUGUGUAGCGGUGAAAUGCGUAGAUAUAUGGAGGAACACCGGUGGCGAAAGCGGCUCUCUGGCUUGUAACUGACGCUGAGGCUCGAAAGCGUGGGGAGCAAACAGGAUUAGAUACCCUGGUAGUCCACGCCGUAAACGAUGAGUGCUAGGUGUUAGACCCUUUCCGGGGUUUAGUGCCGCAGCUAACGCAUUAAGCACUCCGCCUGGGGAGUACGACCGCAAGGUUGAAACUCAAAGGAAUUGACGGGGGCCCGCACAA
rnacentral:rRNA from 1 species